rnacentral:rRNA from 1 species
UACAUGGGGUGCAAACGGUGCUCGGAAUUAUUGGGCGUAAAGCGCGCGUAGGCGGUUACUUAAGGCGGAUGUGAAAGCCCUCGGCUUAACUGAGGAAGUGCACCCGAGACUGAGUAGCUAGAGUACGAAAGAGGGUCGCGGAAUUCCCGGUGUAGAGGUGAAAUUCGUAGAUAUCGGGAGGAACACCGGUGGCGAAGGCGGCGACCUGGGUCGAGACUGACGCUGAGGCGCGAAAGCGUGGGGAGCAAACGGG